rnacentral:rRNA from 1 species
UACGUAGGGGGCGAGCGUUGUCCGGAGUUACUGGGCGUAAAGCGCUUGUAGGCGGUCCACCAAGUUUGGGGUGACAGUUGCCGACUUAAUCGGCAAAGUGCCUCAAAGACUGGCGGACUUGAGGGCCACAGAAGGACAUGGAACUCCAGGUGUAGUGGUGAAAUGCGUAGAUAUCUGGAAGAACACCAAAGGCGAAGGCAGUGUCCUGGGUGGUCGCUGACGCUGAGAGGCGAAAGCCAGGGGAGCGAACGGG